rnacentral:rRNA from 1 species
AACGAACGCUGGCGGCAGGCUUAACACAUGCAAGUCGAACGCACCUUCGGGUGAGUGGCAGACGGGUGAGUAACGCGUGGGAACGUGCCCCUCAGUUCGGAAUAACCCAGGGAAACUUGGGCUAAUACCGGAUACGUGCGAGAACAGAAAGAUUUAUCGCUGAAGGAUCGGCCCGCGUCUGAUUAGCUAGUUGGUGGGGUAAAGGCCCACCAAGGCGACGAUCAGUAGCUGGUCUGAGAGGAUGAUCAGCCACAUUGGGACUGAGACACGGCCCAAACUCCUACGGGAGGCAGCAGUGGGGAAUAUUGGACAAUGGGCGCAAGCCUGAUCCAGCCAUGCCGCGUGAGUGAUGAAGGCCUUAGGGUUGUAAAGCUCUUUCGUCCGGGACGAUAAUGACGGUACCGGAAGAAGAAGCCCCGGCUAACUUCGUGCCAGCAGCCGCGGUAACAC